rnacentral:rRNA from 1 species
UACGGGGGGAGCAAGCGUUGUUCGGAUUUACUGGGCGUAAAGGGCGCGUAGGCGGUCAGCACAAGUCAGUUGUGAAAUCUCCGGGCUUAACUCGGAAAGGUCAACUGAUACUGUGCGACUAGAGUGCGGAAGGGGCAACUGGAAUUCUCGGUGUAGCGGUGAAAUGCGUAGAUAUCGAGAGGAACACCUGCGGCGAAGGCGGGUUGCUGGGCCGACACUGACGCUGAGACGCGAAAGCCAGGGGAGCGAACGGG